CUUGGUUGUCUUUCCUGUCCUGGAGCAUAAAGUUGUAAAUUGCGAAACAGUGGCUAUUAGCCAUCAGUGUGCAUAGCAGAUACCAUGUGUUUAAAAUGCAGCUUCCAAUGAGUCAUUCCCCGAAUUCUAUUUUCAUAGGCCUGCGCUAGAGUGUCUCUGUAGCAAGCGGCCCAGGUGACUUGGUACAGGUGAUACUCAGACUACAAUUUGAGAAACACUGACCUCAGCUACUUCCUGAAAUCUGGAGGAUCCCAGUGGUGCUCAGAGCCCCAUCCUGCUACAAACACGCAACAGUGCUGGAAGCAGACUGCCACAUCUUUCUCUGGAGGAGCAGCUGGUGGAUUUGAAUCGCUUUCUGGCUAGCAGCUGAGUGCUUUAAUCACUGCACCAUGAUGAAACUGAGGUACAAAGAGUUUCUGGGCAUCAGGAAUCUGAGUAUAGCUUAGCUGGAUCGUCUGCUUUAGCAUCUCACAAAACUGCAAUCAAGGUGUCAGCUGGGUUGAGAUCGCUUCUGGAAGCCUGACUGGGGAGAGCUCACUUCCAAGUGAAUUCAUUCAGGUGGGUAGUAGAAUUCUUUUUCUUACAACUCUUUUAUUGAGGGCCCUGGCUUUUUACUGUAUGUUGAAUGGAGGUUGUCUUCAGAUUCUGAAGGGCACUGUCAGUUCCUUCCCUUGUGGGCUUCUCCAACAUGGCCACUUACUUCAUCAAGCCCACAGAGAAAGUCAACUAAGAUGGAGUUGUAUACAGGCAGAUUCUUAUAUAACAAUCACAGGAUGGCAUCCUAUCACCUUUGCCAUAUUCUCUUGAUUAGAAGUAA